CCGCUGGAGCCGUGAGCCGUGCCUUUUGGAGAUGGCAAGACAAGUACUGGCAACCCAAGCGGAUGGGAAUUGCCCCGUUCUUCCAGGUCAUCGUCGGCGGAAUGGUGUCAUCAACUACGGCAAACUGAAGCACCACAGGAACUACAA
rnacentral:lncRNA from 1 species